UACGGAGGAUCCAAGCGUUGUCCGGAAUCAUUGGGCGUAAAGAGCGUGUAGGCGGCUCGGUAAGUCCGCUCUGAAAGCCCGGGGGCUCAACCCCGGGAGGCGGGCGGAUACUGUCGGGCUAGAGUCCGGAAGAGGCGAGUGGAAUUCCUGGUGUAGCGGUGAAAUGCGCAGAUAUCAGGAGGAACACCAAUGGCGAAGGCAGCUCGCUGGGACGGUACUGACGCUGAGACGCGAAAGCGUGGGGAGCAAACAGG
rnacentral:rRNA from 1 species